rnacentral:lncRNA from 1 species
AUUUCAGACAACCCAGCUUGUAAACAGGGUUCAAAAUUAAGAUGGCGUAGCUGGCUAGGUAAAGGGCCCAAUAAUCUGCUCUCUGUAAAGGGGGGUUGCCAAUUACUCUCUUUUCAUCAAUAGGGGAGCAAGGAAGUCAAUGGCACCAGUGACAAGCUGGAUUUAUCCAUUGAUCCGCAGCCAAAUGGAGGCAAACUGAGUUCUACAUGCAUGAGAAUGGCAAGCACUGUUUGAAGGAAGAGAGGAAGCAUUUCCUUCUGAGUGGCCUGGUGAAAGAGUUCAAGGCUGUCAAGCUGCAGGAUCCAGCAAGUUGA